AGCAGCCGCGGUAAUUCCAGCUCCAAUAGCGUAUAUUAAAGUUGCUGCAGUUAAAAAGCUCGUAGUUGAAUUUCGGGACCAUCAUGUCGGUCGUGCCUCGGUACGUACUGGCAUUGUUGGUUUCUUCCUUCUGACGAACCAUGAUGUCAUUUAUUUGGUGUCGUGGGAAAUCAGGACUGUUACUUUGAAAAAAUUAGAGUGUUUAAAGCAGGCUCACGCUUGAAUACAUUAGCAUGGAAUAAUGAAAUAGGAUGUUUGAUUCUAUUUUGUUGGCUUUUAGGAUCGACGUAAUGAUUAAUAGGGAUAGUUGGGGGCAUUAGUAUUCAAUUGUCAGAGGUGAAAUUCUUGGAUUUAUUGAAGACUAACUACUGCAAAAGCAUUUGCCAAGGAUGUUUUCAUUAAUCAAGAACGAAAGUUAGGGAUCGAAGACGAUCAGAUACCGUCGUAGUCUUAACCAUAAACUAUGCCGACUAGGAAUCAGAUGAUGUUAAUUUUUUAAUGACUCAUUCGGCGCCUUACG
rnacentral:rRNA from 1 species